rnacentral:rRNA from 1 species
AACGAACGCUGGCGGCAGGCUUAACACAUGCAAGUCGAACGCACUCUUCGGAGUGAGUGGCAGACGGGUGAGUAAUGCGUGGGAAUCUACCUAGUUCUACGGAAUAACAGUUGGAAACGA